GAGUAGCCCUAGAGGCCUAACGCUUGAGGUCACCUUCAUGGUUUUUCCAGUGACCUUGGCCAUUAAUGAGCUCCCACCGCUUCCCCAGCUGCAGCUGUAUUAUAGCGCCAGAGUCUUCCAAGCCUGCAGGUUGUGCCAAGCCUGGAGGGAUUUGCAAAAGAAACAUUUGCCUACACCAAGAUCAUGAAGAUGUUUUCUUCUAGAGGAUUUCUAGUUUUAGCUCUUUAUGUUUAAAUUGAGGGAAACUAAAUGUAUGGCCUUAAGGAGCUGUUCCAGCCUGAGACUAUACACCAGCAGAAAGAAACUCACAGCACUGAAAAUAUUGUUCUCCGCCCUCCCUCAUCCCUCUUCCUUCUGAAUGGGAAAAAAGAGUAAGAAGCUUUUCCCUCCAGCUGAAAGCAAAGGAGUACUCUAGCCCUCUGUGAUAGCUGAUGGCAGCAUCUUUGGUGGCUCUCCCAGAGAGGCUGCUCUCUUUGCUGGAAUUUGCCUUGUUCUCUCCUCACUGCUGAAGCACUGUCACUGCGUCCUAAAAAAACACCACAGUAUCCGUAA